rnacentral:rRNA from 1 species
UACGGGGAUGCGAGCGUUGUCCGGAAUCAUUGGGCGUAAAGAGUUCGUAGGUGGUUUGUUAAGCUAGGUGUUAAAGGCUGAGGCUCAACUUCAGUAUGGCACUUGAUACUGGCAGACUUGAAUGCGGUAGAGGUAAAGGGAAUUCCUGGUGUAGCGGUGAAAUGCGUAGAUAUCAGGAGGAACAUCGGCGGCGUAAGCGCUUUACUGGGCCGUAAUUGACACUGAGGAACGAAAGCCGGGGUAGCAAAUG